UUAGCGUUUAGUUUCCCUCGUGCGUGUAAAUGUUUGUAUCGUCAACAAGUGCAUUCUUCUUCAUACAGUGCAGCGGAAAUUGAAAAAUUGAUCACGCUGUUUAAAAUGACCAAGGAAGAGGGAUAAAAUCAAAAUUUGUGAGAUCUCUGGACUUCGGUAGACAAUUUAGAUAUUUUGGUCCGAUAAGUCCCUGAUCCCACGCUUCUAGUAAAGAUACUUUGAGAGCGAUAAAUUUCUCGUACCUAAAGUUUCAGCUAAAAACCCACGGGGGCCAAUACCGAAGCCCAGUACCACUAACGUACCAGAAUCGUCAACGUAGGCUUUCCGUUCAGAACAAGCCCAUUAAUGUGCAACCCAAUUGACAGAGUUAUUUGACAUCGAUAUUCACUUUGCUUUAAUCUCUUCCAUAAUGCGUAUUUGCCGCCAUGGGCCGCGGCCCAUGUGGCCACCCCCUUAAUCCGGCCCUGCUUUGAAAUCUGGUGAGACGCGCAUAGGAAAUCAUACGUACGUACUUUCAAGGAUCGGACUGAUGAAUAUCCUCAGAGAGUUGCCA